rnacentral:misc_RNA from 1 species
UCUCCGUAGGUGAACCUGCGGAGGGAUCAUUACUGAGUGAGGGUCUCCGGGCCCGACCUCCAACCCUUUUGUGAACCACCUCGUUGCUUCGGGGGCGACCCUGCCGUUCGCGGCGUGGGGCCCCCGGUGGACAUAUCAACUCUGCAUCAUGACGUCUGAGUUUAUACAAAAAUAAAUCAAAACUUUCAACAACGGAUCUCUUGGUUCUGGCAUCGAUGAAGAACGCAGC